rnacentral:rRNA from 1 species
AUUGAACGCUGGCGGCAGGCCUAACACAUGCAAGUCGAACGGUAACAGGAAGAAGCUUGCUUCUUUGCUGACGAGUGGCGGACGGGUGAGUAAUGUCUGGGAAACUGCCUGAUGGAGGGGGAUAACUACUGGAAACGGUAGCUAAUACCGCAUAACGUCGCAAGACCAAAGAGGGGGACCUUCGGGCCCCUUGCCAUCGGAUGUGCCCAGAUGGGAUUAGCUAGUAGGUGGGGUAACGGCUCACCUAGGCGACGAUCCCUAGCCGGUCUGAGAGGAUGACCAGCCACACUGGAACUGAGACACGGUCCAGACUCCUACGGGAGGCAGCAGUGGGGAAUAUUGCACAAUGGGCGCAAGCCUGAUGCAGCCAUGCCGCGUGUAUGAAGAAGGCCUUCGGGUUGUAAAGUACUUUCAGCGGGGAGGAAGGGAGUAAAGUUAAUACCUUUGCUCAUUGACGUUACCCGCAGAAGAAGCACCGGCUAACUCCGUG